rnacentral:rRNA from 1 species
GAUGAACGCUGGCGGCGUGCCUAAUACAUGCAAGUCGAGCGAACGGACGAGAAGCUUGCUUCUCUGAUGUUAGCGGCGGACGGGUGAGUAACACGUGUAUAACCUACCUAUAAGACUGGGAUAACUUCGGGAAACCGGAGCUAAUACCGGAUGAUAUUUUGAACCGCAUGGUUCAAAAGUGAAAGACGGUCUUGCUGUCACUUAUAGAUGGAUCCGCGCUGCAUUAGCUAGUUGGUAAGGUAACGGCUUACCAAGGCAACGAUGCAUAGCCGACCUGAGAGGGUGAUCGGCCACACUGGAACGGAGACACGGUCCAGACUCCUACGGGAGGCAGCAGUAGGGAAUCUUCCGCAAUGGGCGAAAGCCUGACGGAGCAACGCCGCGUGAGUGAUGAAGGUCUUCGGAUCGUAAAACUCUGUUAUUAGGGAAGAACAUAUGUGUAAGUAACUGUGCACAUCUUGACGGUACCUAAUCAGAAAGCCACGGCUAACUACGUG